rnacentral:rRNA from 1 species
CAAAGGAAUUGACGGGACCCGCACAAGCGGUGGAUGAUGUGGAUUAAUUCGAUGCAACGCGAAGAACCUUACCUACCCUUGACAUGUCCGGAACUUGCCAGAGAUGGCUUGGUGCCCGAAAGGGAAUCGGAACACAGGUGCUGCAUGGCUGUCGUCAGCUCGUGUCGUGAGAUGUUGGGUUAAGUCCCGCAACGAGCGCAACCCUUAUCAUUAGUUGCUACGCAAGGGCACUCUAAUGAGACUGCCGGUGACAAACCGGAGGAAGGUGGGGAUGACGUCAAGUCCUCAUGGCCCUUAUAGGUGGGGCUACACACGUCAUACAAUGGCUGGUACAAAGGGUUGCCAACCCGCGAGGGGGAGCCAAUCCCAUAAAGCCAGUCGUAGUCCGGAUCGCAGUCUGCAACUCGACUGCGUGAAGUCGGAAUCGCUAGUAAUCGUGGAUCAGCAUGUCACGGUGAAUACGUUCCCGGGUCUU